ensembl:lncRNA
GGGAAUUAACGAGCCCAGUGAAAUGUUAUUGAUAUUGACAAUGUGGUUUAGGAAUGGUAACAUUUAUCUUAAUGUGUAUAAUACAGCUGGGUUCAAACAAUUAAUUUAAACCACUAAAUAUGCAUUUUCAUAUUCACUUUAACACAUAUGCAAACUUCUAUCAAGUAAUAAAGAGAGAUUAAAAAUUUGUUUGAAGAAAAACCUCAAAAAAAAUAAAAUCAUGCUUUCGUAGCAAUUGUAUUGUAAUUUCAGGUGAUCAUUCUCAGUGGAAAUUUCUUGACCACAGGCAAAACAUUACAUCUCUCUAAAUUGUGAAGAAGACCCACUAAAAGUUCAAGAGGUCAAUAUCAGUUUGAACUUUGACAGAUGAAAAUAGCAGAACUCAACUGACUCAAGAAAGGGAGCUGAGUUAAUACCUGGUUGGUCAGGGCCUAGUUAUUUCUAACUAGUUCAUAUACUAUUCCUUCAGAUAUUUAUUCUUCUAAAUAAAUAUCAGGGAAGGGGGGAAGAAAUGGGAAAAAGAAAGAUGUCCUUCAUGCCCGUUCAGUACCUAACGACUACAUAAAUUGGAGAAUCCACUCUCACUAGACAGACCACAGAUUCACUCUAAUUUAUGACUCUUUGGGCAAACAAGUCUUAUUUUAGGGUUUUUGUCGGCUUAGCAAUAAAUGUGAAACAGGAUUGGAUUCUCCAAUCCAUUGUUUGGUUUUUCAGUAUAAACCAACAAAUGCAGAGCUCUGGGACUAGGUCUAUGAGCUUAUUCAAAUAUCUUAACACAGAUUUAAAACAAAAAUAUUUGGAAGUGGAUUGCAACAUUUUUUCCUGUGAUUACACUCCUUUCAGUGUUACUCUAAUUAUAAAUGGUUAAACAAAGCAUAUUUGCAAAUUUGAAAGAAGGCUCCAGGUCACAUACAAAGGAGACCAAGAAAUUCCUGUCUUUUGUAUUUUGAGUAAAGCAACCUUCCUUUAAAACUUUUUCCUUAAAGUAAAUUGUUAAUAUCCAUUCAUAAAUAUGGAGGAGCAGUAUUUACACCAGUUGUCUAUCUUACUCUACUACUUAAUUAUAUAGGGUCACCAAUGGUUCAAGCUAAAAUGUAUCUGUGUGUAUAACAUUGCUGUGACAUUUAUAUUUUUCUCUAAUUACCUCUCCCUUUGUCUCAAAACAUUAGAGACAGAUAUAGCAGGAGGAAACAAAUUCAGAUUACCUAUGGCUAUUAAUUAUAUUUGAAGACGUCAUAGAAAUCUAUAUUUGCUAAACUAUUCUAAGACACCUAACAUUCCAUUCGGAGGAGAGGAGUAGACGCUUAGUCCAUAAUAACUAAAGUGUAGUCAUUUCUCUGUCAUCCAUGCCAAUGAAAUUGAGGAAUGGUUCAAAUAAGUAAGUAAUCUUUUCAAUACAAUUGGAUCAACUACCACAUACAUUAAAAGUUUUUCCAAAUUUUCAUCACAGUCCAUUCUUAAUUCAAGGCUAAUAAUUUCAGUAACAUAUCACUUAUUUACUUCUGACGCUCCAGAGGCACCUCAACCUCAACAAAUUUCUUGCUUUUAUUCUCCCAGUUGCUGAAGACAGAAACUCCACAGUCUCCAUUGACCUGUCCCUUUCCCUCAUUUCCUACAGUUAAUUAAUCUUCAUGACCUGUGAGUUCUGUCUCUGAAGUCAGUGGUUCCUAAAUUUGCUUGUACAUGAGAAAACGUAUGAGGAGAGCUUGUAAAGUGCUUAUUCCUGGUGCUCAAACCUGGAGAUUCAGUAGGUAGUGAAUCCAUAUUCUAUUUGAAGCUCCCAGAUAAUUCUGAUGCACAGUCAGGUUUGAGAAACAUAGCCCUUAAAUUUCUAAUUUAUUUUAUUCUCUCCUCCCAUAUUGAAAUUACUUCACUUGAAAUAUCUAUCUCCUAACUAGACUAUUCCAACAGCUUGCUAAAUUUGUUUCCCCUACUCCAUUAAUCCCUGUCUGUUUUGGUUGAUCCUGUACACUGAUUGUCUCGUUCUCUUUUUAAGCCUUUUAGAAAGAUUGUGGUUAUUUUUGUUGAGAGGUAGUACCUGGAGAAGCAGAGGAGGAUUUCUGGGUUGUUGAUAACGUUCAGUUUUUCAUUCUGUCUGUUGGCUACAAAGGCAUGCUCUCUUUAUGAAAAUUCACCGAGGGCUACUUUUCAAUGUGUUACAUUUUAAUUUAAGAGUUAAAACUGAUAGCUCCCCUUCAAGUACUUCUGGCUCUCCUCCCCUGUACCGCAUUUCUGAUUACUUUUCUAACAUGAUUCUGACCUUUAGUACAUGUUGUCCUCUCUCCUUAGAACAUCUUUUCUGCCUUCUUCACCUGGUAACUCUAUUAGGAACAAUCUUACCUUUAAACAGUGUUAGUUGCUUUCUAUUCCAUGUUCCCAUAACACAUUACCCAUUAACCUGUUUUUAUUACAUUAUUGUGUAAUGCUUUGUUUCCACCUUAGCAUUCCAGGUUGUAGAGUGUCUGUUUUAUUCAUAUUUCUGGCCUCCUGCAGAGAACAGCCCAGAAAUUGGUAGACAGUACGGAUUCAACAAUGCUUUUUAAAUAAAAUGAAUGAAUACAUGAAUGGAUGCUGUGGUUUCAUUGACAAAUAGGAAAAUCUGGCAUCAGAAAAUAAAGGAGUGGAAACCAAAUCCCGUGUUAGGAUGUGAAGCUAUGGUUCUUAGACACAAGUAUUUUCAGUUUGGAUGAAUCCAAGCACAAAUAAAUAAUGAGGAGCUGAAUGCUAUGUAUCACAACUAUAAUAAUCAUCUGAGCUAAUAAAGAAGUCCCAGCCUGGGAAGAAAAGGACUCCGGGUACAGCUGAGACUCCAACACCACAGGGCUUUGGCACUUUGAAUAUGUCAUCACACUGCCUUCCAGCCUCCUCUAUUUUGGAUGAUGUCAGCUGUUGGACUUAUUGGUGAAUCCCAAGUCCUUGUGAUACCUCAUGGAUUCAAGAUCACUUUUCCAUCUCUAACCUCAUAUCUGUACUCCAGGACAGUUCAAAAACAAGGGAGCAGCAAAAGAUGGACUGGGAACUAUAUGACAGAUAAAAAGGUUUUUAGAAACAUCCAACAGAUUCUAAUUCUCUCUCCUUGGCCAGCACUAUAUUACAUAGCACCUGCAGUUACCAAAGGAGGCUGGGAAAUACACUUUAGGAAGUUGAACAUGUUACCACUAACAAAAAUCAGACUUCUCUUAGUAAGAAAAGAAUGACAAAUUGGUAUCAGAUGGAAAACUAGUAGUGUCAGCCACAGCGAGACUGUGGAAAACCGGGAAUACUCAUCCACUGCUUCUGGGAGGUGUAAUUUGGCACAGUGACUUUGAAGAAUAAUUUAGCUAUAGCUACAAAAGUUGGAGAAAAAAAUGAAUGAACUAAGACUACUGACAUCAGCAUGGACAAAUCUCGAAAACAAUUUUUAAAUAAAAAAAUCAAGUUGCG